GGUAGUUUGACUGGGGCGGUCUCCUCCUAAAGAGUAACGGAGGAGCACGAAGGUUGGCUAAUCCUGGUCGGACAUCAGGAGGUUAGUGCAAUGGCAUAAGCCAGCUUGACUGCGAGCGUGACGGCGCGAGCAGGUGCGAAAGCAGGUCAUAGUGAUCCGGUGGUUCUGAAUGGAAGGGCCAUCGCUCAACGGAUAAAAGGUACUCCGGGGAUAACAGGCUGAUACCGCCCAAGAGUUCAUAUCGACGGCGGUGUUUGGCACCUCGAUGUCGGCUCAUCACAUCCUGGGGCUGAAGUAGGUCCCAAGGGUAUGGCUGUUCGCCAUUUAAAGUGGUACGCGAGCUGGGUUUAGAACGUCGUGAGACAGUUCGGUCCCUAUCUGCCGUGGGCGCUGGAGAACUGAGGGGGGCUGCUCCUAGUACGAGAGGACCGGAGUGGACGCAUCACUGGUGUUCGGGUUGUCAUGCCAAUGGCACUGCCCGGUAGCUAAAUGCGGAAGAGAUAAGUGCUGAAAGCAUCUAAGCACGAAACUUGCCCCGAGAUGAGUUCUCCCUGACCCUUUAAGGGUCCUGAAGGAACGUUGAAGACGACGACGUUGAUAGGCCGGGUGUGUAAGCGCAGCGAUGCGUUGAGCUAACCGGUACUAAUGAACCGUGAGG
rnacentral:rRNA from 1 species